rnacentral:rRNA from 1 species
GGGGGCCCAGCUGAUGCAGCACUGCCGCGUGCAGUGAUGAAGGCCUUCGGGUUGUAAACCUCUUUUACCGGGGACGAUAAUGACGGUACCCGGAGAAUAAGGCCCGGCUAACUCCGUGCCAGCAGCCGCGGUAAUACGAAGGGGACUAGCGUUGUUCGGAAUCAC